rnacentral:rRNA from 1 species
GACGAACGCUGGCGGCGUGCUUAACACAUGCAAGUCGAACGGUAAGGCCCUUCGGGGUACACGAGUGGCGAACGGGUGAGUAACACGUGGGUGAUCUGCCCUGCACUUCGGGAUAAGCCUGGGAAACUGGGUCUAAUACCGGAUAGGACCACUGCCUGCAUGGGGGGUGGUGGAAAGCUUUUGCGGUGUGGGAUGGGCCCGCGGCCUAUCAGCUUGGUGGUGGGGUGAUGGCAUACCAAGGCGACGACGGGUAGCCGGCCUGAGAGGGUCACCGACCCAACUGGGAUGGCGUUACGGCCCAGACUCCUACGGGAGGAAGCAGUGGGGAAUAUUGCACCAUGGGCGCAAGCCUGAUGCAGCGACGCCGCGUGAGGGAUGACGGACUUCGGGUUGUAAACCUCUUUCAGCACCGACGAAGCGCAAGUGACGGUAGGUGCAGAAGAAGGACCGGCCAACUACGUGCCAGCCGCCGCCGUAA